rnacentral:rRNA from 1 species
CAGCCGCCACGGGAAUACGAAGGGGGCUAGCGUUGCUCGGAAUCACUGGGCGUAAAGGGUGCGUAGGCGGGUCUUUAAGUCAGAGGUGAAAUCCUGGAGCUCAACUCCAGAACUGCCUUUGAUACUGAGGAUCUUGAGUUCGGGAGAGGUGAGUGGAACUACGAGUGUAGAGGUGAAAUUCGUAGAUCUCGAGAGGAACACCAAUGGCGAAGGCAGCUUCUUGGUCCAUUCCUGACGUUCAUACACGAAAGCGUGGGGAGCAAACAGGAUUAGAUACCCCAGUAGUCCCUGUCUCUUAUAC